rnacentral:rRNA from 1 species
UUAAGCGACUAAGCGUACACGGUGGAUGCCCUGGCAGUCAGAGGCGAUGAAGGACGUGCUAAUCUGCGAUAAGCGUCGGUAAGGUGAUAUGAACCGUUAUAACCGGCGAUUUCCGAAUGGGGAAACCCAGUGUGAUUCGUCACACUAUCAUUAACUGAAUCCAUAGGUUAAUGAGGCGAACCGGGGGAACUGAAACAUCUAAGUACCCCGAGGAAAAGAAAUCAACCGAGAUUCCCCCAGUAGCGGCGAGCGAACGGGGAGCAGCCCAGAGCCUGAAUCAGUGUGUGUGUUAGUGGAAGCGUCUGGAAAGGCGCGCGAUACAGGGUGACAGCCCCGUACACAAAAAUGCACAUGCUGUGAGCUCGAUGAGUAGGGCGGGACACGUGGUAUCCUGUCUGAAUAUGGGGGGACCAUCCUCCAAGGCUAAAUACUCCUGACUGACCGAUAGUGAACCAGUACCGUGAGGGAAAGGCGAAAAGAACCCCGGCGAGGGGAGUGAAAAAGAACCUGAAACCGUGUACGUACAAGCAGUGGGAGCACGCUUAGGCGUGUGACUGCGUACCUUUUGUAUAAUGGGUCAGCGACUUAUAUUCUGUAGCAAGGUUAACCGAAUAGGGGAGCCGAAGGGAGACCGAGUCUUAACUGGGCGUUAAGUUGCAGGGUAUAGACCCGAAACCCGGUGAUCUAGCCAUGGGCAGGUUGAAGGUUGGGUAACACUAACUGGAGGACCGAACCGACUAAUGUUGAAAAAUUAGCGGAUGACUUGUGGCUGGGGGUGAAAGGCCAAUCAAACCGGGAGAUAGCUGGUUCUCCCCGAAAGCUAUUUAGGUAGCGCCUCGUGAAUUCAUCUCCGGGGGUAGAGCACUGUUUCGGCAAGGGGGUCAUCCCGACUUACCAACCCGAUGCAAACUACGAAUACCGGAGAAUGUUAUCACGGGAGACACACGGCGGGUGCUAACGUCCGUCGUGAAGAGGGAAACAACCCAGACCGCCAGCUAAGGUCCCAAAGUCAUGGUUAAGUGGGAAACGAUGUGGGAAGGCCCAGACAGCCAGGAUGUUGGCUUAGAAGCAGCCAUCAUUUAAAGAAAGCGUAAUAGCUCACUGGUCGAGUCGGCCUGCGCGGAAGAUGUAACGGGGCUAAACCAUGCACCGAAGCUGCGGCAGCGACGCUUAUGCGUUGUUGGGUAGGGGAGCGUUCUGUAAGCCUGUGAAGGUGUACUGUGAGGUAUGCUGGAGGUAUCAGAAGUGCGAAUGCUGACAUAAGUAACGAUAAAGCGGGUGAAAAGCCCGCUCGCCGGAAGACCAAGGGUUCCUGUCCAACGUUAAUCGGGGCAGGGUGAGUCGACCCCUAAGGCGAGGCCGAAAGGCGUAGUCGAUGGGAAACAGGUUAAUAUUCCUGUACUUGGUGUUACUGCGAAGGGGGGACGGAGAAGGCUAUGUUGGCCGGGCGACGGUUGUCCCGGUUUAAGCGUGUAGGCUGGUUUUCCAGGCAAAUCCGGAAAAUCAAGGCUGAGGCGUGAUGACGAGGCACUACGGUGCUGAAGCAACAAAUGCCCUGCUUCCAGGAAAAGCCUCUAAGCAUCAGGUAACAUCAAAUCGUACCCCAAACCGACACAGGUGGUCAGGUAGAGAAUACCAAGGCGCUUGAGAGAACUCGGGUGAAGGAACUAGGCAAAAUGGUGCCGUAACUUCGGGAGAAGGCACGCUGAUAUGUAGGUGAAGUGCCUUGCUGAUGGAGCUGAAAUCAGUCGAAGAUACCAGCUGGCUGCAACUGUUUAUUAAAAACACAGCACUGUGCAAACACGAAAGUGGACGUAUACGGUGUGACGCCUGCCCGGUGCCGGAAGGUUAAUUGAUGGGGUCAGCGCAAGCGAAGCUCUUGAUCGAAGCCCCGGUAAACGGCGGCCGUAACUAUAACGGUCCUAAGGUAGCGAAAUUCCUUGUCGGGUAAGUUCCGACCUGCACGAAUGGCGUAAUGAUGGCCAGGCUGUCUCCACCCGAGACUCAGUGAAAUUGAACUCGCUGUGAAGAUGCAGUGUACCCGCGGCAAGACGGAAAGACCCCGUGAACCUUUACUAUAGCUUGACACUGAACAUUGAGCCUUGAUGUGUAGGAUAGGUGGGAGGCUUUGAAGUGUGGACGCCAGUCUGCAUGGAGCCGACCUUGAAAUACCACCCUUUAAUGUUUGAUGUUCUAACGUUGACCCGUAAUCCGGGUUGCGGACAGUGUCUGGUGGGUAGUUUGACUGGGGCGGUCUCCUCCUAAAGAGUAACGGAGGAGCACGAAGGUUGGCUAAUCCUGGUCGGACAUCAGGAGGUUAGUGCAAUGGCAUAAGCCAGCUUGACUGCGAGCGUGACGGCGCGAGCAGGUGCGAAAGCAGGUCAUAGUGAUCCGGUGGUUCUGAAUGGAAGGGCCAUCGCUCAACGGAUAAAAGGUACUCCGGGGAUAACAGGCUGAUACCGCCCAAGAGUUCAUAUCGACGGCGGUGUUUGGCACCUCGAUGUCGGCUCAUCACAUCCUGGGGCUGAAGUAGGUCCCAAGGGUAUGGCUGUUCGCCAUUUAAAGUGGUACGCGAGCUGGGUUUAGAACGUCGUGAGACAGUUCGGUCCCUAUCUGCCGUGGGCGCUGGAGAACUGAGGGGGGCUGCUCCUAGUACGAGAGGACCGGAGUGGACGCAUCACUGGUGUUCGGGUUGUCAUGCCAAUGGCACUGCCCGGUAGCUAAAUGCGGAAGAGAUAAGUGCUGAAAGCAUCUAAGCACGAAACUUGCCCCGAGAUGAGUUCUCCCUGACUCCUUGAGAGUCCUGAAGGAACGUUGAAGACGACGACGUUGAUAGGCCGGGUGUGUAAGCGCAGCGAUGCGUUGAGCUAACCGGUACUAAUGAACCGUGAGGCUUAACCUU